UGCACUGGGUUGAAAGCAGGGCGGCUAGUCUUGACCCAUACAGCUGUAUCCAGCUGUUGUACACUUCGCAGGAAUCUGCUGAUAAACUUUACUGUGUCGUAUCAAACGGGUGGACUGAAAGCGCCUCCCGGACCAAGAUAAAAACGGGGAGACAGAAUGCCGACGUGUCCAUUAGUUUUUUGCAAACAUCAGCGGACCUUAUCCUGAAUGUUGAAGAAGUCCGCAAUAAACCUGCCGUGAGCUAUAUAAGAGGAACGUAUGUUAUUUUGUAUGCAGAUGCUGCAUGCGUUAUUUUGAGAUCACAAAAUGAUGUUUCAGAUGAACCAUUAUGUACAGCGUGGGUUCCGGCAAACACUGUGGAACAUCUACACCUUAAAUGCCGAGACGCAUUUUUUUCUUUGUGUAAAUCAUGUCAACCACGAGUGUAUUCCUGGGAAAGAAUCACUGCUGUAAGCCACACUACGUAAAAGUGGUCGUAAUGAGCCGCUCUUGUGUUUGCAGCAUAUAGCGAAGGAAUUUCAGCAAUAAUAACCAACUUGCUACUACACGUCAAAUAAAUCCAACAAUAAUUUGUUGAACUUCAAAA